rnacentral:rRNA from 1 species
CCUACGGGUGGCAGCAGUGGGGAAUUUUGGACAAUGGGCGCAAGCCUGAUCCAGCUAUUCCGCGUGUGGGAAGACGGCCUUCGGGUUGUAAACCACUUUUGUAGAGAACGAAAAGUCUAUUGAUAAUACCGAUAGAUGAUGACGGUACUCUAAGAAUAAGCACCGGCUAACUACGUGCCAGCAGCCGCGGGAAUACGUAGGGUGCGAGCGUUAAUCGGAAUUACUGGGCGUAAAGGGUGUGCAGGCGGUUUUGCAAGUUGGAUGUGAAAGCCCCGGGCUUAACCUGGGAAAGCCAUACAUGACUGCAAGACUAGAGUGCGUCAGAGGGGAGUGGAAUUCCAAGUGUAGCAGUGAAAUGCGUAGAUAGUUGGAAGAACACCGAUGGCGAAGGCAGCCCCCUGGGACGCAACUGACGCUCAGACACGAAAGCGUGGGGAGCAAACAGGAUUAGAUACCUCAGUAGUC